rnacentral:rRNA from 1 species
GACGAACGCUGGCGGCGUGCUUAACACAUGCAAGUCGAACGAUGAACCCGGAGCUUGCUCCGGUGGAUUAGUGGCGAACGGGUGAGUAACACGUGAGUAACCUGCCCUUGACUCUGGGAUAACUGCGGGAAACUGUAGCUAAUACCGGAUACGACCCUCGGCGGCAUCGCCAGGGGGUGGAAAGAAUUUCGGGCAAGGAUGGACUCGCGGCCUAUCAGCUAGUUGGUGGGGUAACGGCUCACCAAGGCGACGACGGGUAGCCGGCCUGGGAGGGUGACCGGCCACACUGGGACUGAGACACGGCCCAGACUCCUACGGGAGGCAGCAGUGGGGAAUAUUGCACAAUGGGCGCAAGCCUGAUGCAGCGACGCCGCGUGAGGGAUGACGGCCUUCGGGUUGUAAACCUCUUUUAGUAGGGAAGAAGCGAAAGUGACGGUACCUGCAGAAAAAGCACCGGCUAACUACGUGCCAGCCGCCGCCGUAA